AGAACAGCUCUUUCAUAACUAUUUAACAACACCAUACAGUAGAGGUUAUUCUGAAAAAGACCUAAGUUUGGUGACUGGUACAGCUGCUGAUGCAUUACUGAAAAUCAUCAAGCAAGUUGGUCAAAAUCUGGGAAAAGCAAAGCAGGUUCCACAAGAAACAAAUGCAAGAGGGCAGCCUAAAGGAGACAUGACAUUUUUUCUUCCUACCUUUGACACCAACAUUACUUCAAAAGCAAUGCCCCUUGGCUACUUAUUUGUAAAAGAAGACCCUUCCACAAUACCUGAUCCUAAAUUAAUCUGUGACUACAAAAACUGCACGCAAUUAUCAACAACCAAUGUCAAUUGCCUUAACUGUUUUCACACAUUUCACAAUUUUUGUUUAGAAGAAGCUGGAGACCAGUGUCAACUCUGUUCCCCACACCUUGCUGAAAAGUUCCCAAUCACCAGGCUGCACCUUUACAGGCAAUUGACAUCCAAGUUACCACUCAUCCAGUUGGUUCAUCUACAUUUUGGUUCUUUCCUCCUUACAUAUCUCAGUCAACUCUACUUGGAAGAAAUGGAUCUAAUGCAUGUGCUUUUAUCUCACUAAUUCUGCAAACCAAACCAGUAUACAGCUCAGCCGUGGUCCUCCCAUAAACCCUCAUUGGCUUUCAAUGAUGUUAUCUGCAAUUGUUCGUGGCAACAGCAUAUAUGACACUGUGACAAAUGGUUACGGGUCUCCAUUCUUUAGUGUUGUUGAGGCAAAACCACAUCUAGAUUCAGUCAUUGGGACUGUUUCUCUUGAAGACGCCCUCGAUCUGUCAAUUACCUCAGCUAAUCCACAGGUUCCUCAAAGUUCACUUGCAUUUUAUCUGCAAAGGCUUGAUCGCGAACAGAACUUAGCAGCAAUAGUCAUAGCUAAUGGAAUGACAAUAUCUCUCGUCGGACACGAUUCAAAGAUCUGUUCUAGAUAGCCAUCUACACUAUGCACACGGCCAUAACAUUGGAGCGAUGAUCGGAAUGAGUCCCAAGGCUGACUUGGAAGAAUUCCUCAGGAAUAUAAAGAAACUAAUCUCGCCCACAUUUGAUGUUUGCUCCCUGACAUUUGUCUCGUUUUCAGGGCAGCAGUCGAACUUUCGAGUUUCGCGUGCCAGCAAAUCCCACAAACGCCGUCAAACUUGAGGAUUUUACCCUCGAUCCAGCAAAAAAUCUUCCUGGAACCUUAACACGAGUACAUUUUCUUGGUGUAUGUGUAAUUUUUUGCUCCCGUUAAGUCCAUUUUGAGCCAAA